rnacentral:rRNA from 1 species
CCAGCUCCAAAAGCGUAUAUUAAAGUUGUUGCAGUUAAAAAGCUCGUAGUUGAAGUUCUGGCUGUAUUGGGCCUCUGCUUUAUUGCGGAGGAACCAGCAGUCAUCCGCUUGCAAAUACAUGUCCUUCCUUAACCGGUAGGCUGUAUAAGUAAGCACUUUACCUUGAGAAAAACAGAGUGUUCCAGGCAGGUUUGUCCGGAAUGCGUUAGCAUGGAAUAAUAGAAUAUGACUGAAGUCGAUUUAUUGGUUUAAGGCUUUAGUAAUGAUUAAUAGGAACAAUCGGGGGCAUUGGUACUUGUCAGUCAGAGGUGAAAUUCUAGGAUUUGACAAAGACUAACUGAUGCGAAAGCGUUUGCCAAGAAUGUUUUCA